rnacentral:rRNA from 1 species
UCUUCUUUGCUGGCGACCGGCGCACGGGUGAGUAACACGUAUCCACCUGCCCUUUACUCGGGGAUAGCCUUUCGAAAGAAAGAUUAAUACCCGAUAGCACAAUGAUUCCGCAUGGUUUCAUUAUUAAAGGAUUCCGGUAAAGGAUGGGGAUGCGUUCCAUUAGGUUGUUGGUGGGGUAACGGCCCACCAAGCCUUCGAUGGAUAGGGGUUCUGAGAGGAAGGUCCCCCACAUUGGAACUGAGACACGGUCCAA